AAAAUAUGAUAUUUGAAUUCUUACCUGUAUACUGGACAUAUGUUAAGUGAUAUCUUCAAUCAUGUUUUCACUGUUUUUUUUCAGACUCUCUGGAAUGUUGCCUUACUAUCAAUUUCACAUCUGACCUCCAAAAUAUUAGUACCAUGAAAAAGUUGAAGCCAACAGAAUGAGGAAAUAGUACUCAAACCUUUCAACUCUGCCUUUACAAAGACAAUGUAUCUGAAAAGAAAGACCUAUCACCAAGGAAACCUGAAAUCACCAAUCUUUCCAUUUCCCAGAAUGUACUUGCAAGCUGGUACCCACUUUUCAGGCAAGUUUCACUGCCAUUGAUUCGAGGGCAGGAGGAAGAAGAAUGGCCCA
rnacentral:lncRNA from 1 species